CGGGGCAGCCGGGACGGAGCCGGGCACGCCGGUGGCACGGGUCCAGCGGGGCCAUGUGCGCCGGGCAGCGCCGUGCCAAGAGCGGGGCUGGGCAGGAGGAAACCCACGGUGGGAACGUGGACCCCCAGGGAUGCAGCACCGACCCUCUCCCGGCUUCUCCUCAGGGAUGCUCGGACCGAAAACACGCGAGCAGAGGGAUGAGAAGGAGCAGGAAGGAUUCGGGCAGGUCCCCCCGGGGCAGGCCAGGCCAUUCCCGAAUGUCCCGAAGUCGAUCCAAGCGCCCGGGCUCCAGCUGGGCUCCCGCCGGGGACGGUAAUCCCGGUAAUCCCGGUAAUGCCGUGAUUUACGGCUCUUGGUCCCCGCUCCUCCGGGGCUCCAGCCUUGUCCCGGUUUUUCUCACCCACUUGCUCAAGGGGUUGCCCGAGGCAAAGCCGAGACAGAGUUUUCACCCCAAAACACGGGAAAGGAGAAGUUCGCCGGGAUGCCCGGGGUGAUGUGGAGGGGAUUGCCCCGGCCCUGGGUCCGUCCUGGUGAGGAGGAGCAGGAAUUCCCCCCAGGCCCCCUCCCCAUUUCGCUGCUUUUCCCUUCCCACAGCAUCCGCCUUGGAAGGAAAUCCCACGUGUGGCUCACAGGGAAACCUCCGGUUUAUCUCCAGGGCUUCAUCCCACGCGGAUUUGGGCACCACGGGUGGGACAUCGCCCAUCCCUCGGCAGCUGGGCAGGGAUGAAUUUCCUUCCUGGAGCACCUUCCCACCUGAAUUCCCAGAGCCCCAAACCUGCUGUGAUCCUCUCCCAGGGAUUUUAUCAAUUUGAGGUGAUUGCAACCCUCCAGCCCCCCAAAUCCAGGGAAGAAAGGAGAGGGAGCAUCACCCCAGGAGGACACAAGGGCAGAACCACCACGCCAUUCCCUCCCCUCCGGACAUCCCCAUGUCCACAUCAGGCACCAGCCCAGCCUGCAGCCCCCUCCAGCAUCCCCAGAGUGCCAAACAUGCUGAUCCAGAGGCAAAACGGAGCCUUUGGCAUGUCCGGGUGCAGGAAGAGGCCCCGACCUCUCCGGUGACAUUGAGCAAGACCCGGCAGCAACCCCGAAAUCCCAAAGUUCUGCUUUCGCAGUGGAUUUUCUGCCAGCCCCGUGUCCAGGAGUGACUCACUCCAAGAGCAUCAAAGGUUGUUGGAGCCGGAUGUUGUCCCCCAAAGGCGCCAGCAGUGGAAGCCAGAGAUUUACAGCCCAGCAAGGGCCAUAAAAGAGGGAUUUUGGGAGCAGUGGUUUGAUCCUGAGCGAGAGAUGAUGAAACGUCCCAGCGUGUCCUCAUCAUCCUGCGAGGAGUGGUUGUGCAGCCUCUGCAUCCCACGUUUCCUCGGCUCUUCCCGGACACGUUGAGCAGUGGCAGGUCGGGUUGAUCCGUGCCUUUCCCCAGCAGGAUGAAGGUUCCUCUCCAGUUCACACACCCCAUGUGGGUCCCUCAUCUCGGCACAGCUCUCCCAGCACGGAUCUGGAGCAGGGAAUUGCUGCUCCCAGGGGAGGAGAGGCUGGGAUGGGCUGAGGGCGAGGAGGAUCGAGCUCUGGCCAGUCCAGGAGAAGCUCCAGUUGUGCGCUGCUGAGCCUGGAAAGGUCUGGAAGUGCCCAAGGCCAGCUUGGAUGGGGUUUGGAGCAUCCUGGGACAGUGGAAGGUGUCCCUGGCCAAGGCAAGGGUGGGACUGGAUGGGCUUUAAGGUCCCUUCCAACAAAAUCAUUCCGUGAUUCCAAACAAAUGAUGCUUUUCCCUUCUCCAGAUGCUGGUGGGGAACACGGUAAGGACACAGAGCAAGGGGCUCCAGAGGGCUUCAACUUCCCAAAACGCAGGAAAUUCCCCGCAGCCGCCCGAACCGGCAGAAACUUUGGGGUUUUUUGUAGAGUUCCUUAUCACAAGUGGCAAGAGGGGAAGCGCUAUCAGUUCCUCACAGCUGUUGAGCAAAGGAUCCCCAAAAAAGUGCUCAGAGACCUCUGGGGAUUGGUGGCAUCGCCACCUGGGACUGACAGAGCGGGAUCAGGUCCUUCCCACAUCCUGCAGGACCUCGGUGCUCCCCAGAACCACUCAGGCUGAGCAGGUUGGAUGCUGUGGGGAGGAUAUUCCCUGGAAAAAGAGCAGCUGAGCAGGUUGGACGCUGUGGGGAGGAUAUUCCCUGGAAAAAGAGCAGCUCGGCUUUCCCGGGGUGUGUUUCCCAGCAAAGGAUAAGCAGGGAAGCACACGAAGCUCCGAGCAGCCCGUGGGGCUCGGCUUCCAGGGAAGUUGGAGGCUCCAGGAAUUAUUUGGGAUGAGAAAGCCCAGUGGGGUUUGCUCCAUCUCAUUUUGGGUCUGGAAAGGGGCACGGAGGGAUGGGGGACGGGGCUCUCCCUCUGCUGCCGGCGUGGGAUGUUUGGGCAGCCACAUCCCGCCGUGGUGACGGAUCAGCAGAGUGGGCGCUGAGGUGACCUUUGGAUGUUUCCAAAUCGAAGCCAACCACCACGGGUCAGGCAAGCAAAAAGCAGCUUUUGCCCCGGCACAGCAGGAAUCGCAUUUUUUUCUCCCUUUGCUGCGAGUUUACGGCAUCUCCCAAAAACGAGACUUCUGCUCCACUUGGACAAAGACUUCCCUGCCCGGCUGCACCCGCGGUCAACGAUUAACUCGGGUUCCCACCCCCCCCCCAGGCCGGGAAGGGCAGGAAAUGCCUCUGGCCCGACCACCAAAAAUGGAAAUCUGCCUUGGGAGCUCCUCACUCACGCCACCAUCACCUUCCUGGAUCCUUCCCAAGGGGAUUCUUUCCUGGAUGGGCUCCCCAGAUGGGGAUUUCCAGGUAGGGGCUGUGCUCUGCCCAGGAGGAUUUUCAGUUUACAGAUGUGAAAUGGAAUCCCUUGAGAGCAUCAUUGGGGUUUGACUCCCUGACCCUUGUGGGUCCCUUCCAGUUUAGGAUAUCCAGGGUGAGGAUGUUCAGGGAACAAGCUCAGCCUGGGCAGGAUUGGUGCCGUGCUUGUUGAGAAGCAGCUUUAAAAAGCAUCUCCCUGCUCAAUCUCACCCUUCCAAAGUGCCAAAAGAGCCCUUUCCAUCCAUUUUUUGGUGCAGAUCCAGGAGGAAAUCCCAGGCCGAGGCUUUUGGGAGCGUGGUGAUCUUUGGAAUGGUGAUGCUGAGCCCAGGGAGCCAGAUCAGCUCAAAUCCUUCCUCCAAAAAGUUUUCCAACACUGAGCAGGGGGGAAAAAAACAGAUGGAAGGAACCAAAUCCAACCUGGGCACAUCCCAGAGCAGAAUCUCUUUUACCAAGGAAACCUUUAGGACACACUGAAAGGGAAGGAUAACCUAGAAAGUUCCUUAAAACUGUAGUGUGGAUGUUUUAAAUGCUGGCAAAAAUAGCUGAAGGGAACCAAAUCCAACCUGGGCACAUCCCAGAGCAGCACCCUUUGUAUCAAGAAGAGAAAGACAACCUCAAAACUGCCUUAAAACCCCAGGAUUUUGAGAGCCUGGAUGCUUUUUGAAGCACAAAGCGCAGUUUUGGACGAGGAACAAGCAUGGAAGCUGCUGGAGAAUUUGGGGAAGUCUCUGCCAGUCCGACCUCCAGGAGAAAUAAAUGUAUUUAUUUGCGAACCUGGACACAGAUAAGGCUCCACGUGCCCAUCAGCAGGGAAUUAGUCAGCGGAGCGUGACUCGGGAAAGGGUUGUGUACACAGGAGCAUCCAGGGCAGCAGCGGGGGAGAGGCAGCACCGAGGGCUGAGGGAUUUUCCCCCAGGUUGGAGCCAGAACGGCCAAGGAAAUCCCACCUGCAGCAGAGAACAUCCACCUGCACCUCCUGGAUCAGCGGUUCACAUCCUCAGGUACAAAGUCCAGUCUGGCAGUACGAGCUGGGAGCGCGUCGCUGGUCCCCGACCCCACAGCCCCUCUGGGAUUGUUGGGAUUUACAAGGCACUGCAAGAACACACAGACAACAGGAACCCCAAGGGGGUGGCACUGGUGCUCCAAGAGUCCUGACAAGCACGAGGUGACACCUGAGAUGGUCACACAGACACCGGGUGGCUUCACAAGGGACACACGGAGGACCCGAGGGCCGGGAAAGGGUCAGGACAAAACCUCACUCCAAGAGGAGCCAGAAAAACCAUCAGGAAUUGGGUUAACCCAACCAAAAGUGAGAAUGGAACAACAAAACCCUCAGGAAUUGGGUUAACCCAACCAAAAGUGAGAAUGGAACAGCAAAACCCUCAGGAAUUGGGUUAACCCAACCCAAAGUGAGGAUGGAACAACAAAACCCUCAGGAAUUGGGUUAACCCAACUCAAAGUGAGGAUGGAACAACAAAACCCUCAGGAAUUGGGUUAACCCAACCAAAAGUGAGAAUGGAACAGCAAAACUCUCAGGAAUUGGGUUAAUCCAACCAAAAGUGGGAAUGGAACAACAAAACCCUCAGGAAUUGGGUUAACCCAACCCAAAGUGAGGUCGGCAGAGCAGAUUCUGUUGUGCCUCGGGCAGGUCCCCGUGUGUGUGUGUGUGUGUGUGUGUGUGUGUGUGUGUGUGUGUGUGAGCACACCUGGGGAACUCGGUGCACUCUCUGAGGAGCACCCACGGACAAUCAUGGGGAUUCCCACCAAUUCAGGGGUUUCCAGCCCAAUUUUUCCACCCGCACACGGGGCAAACCCAUCCCCAUCACCACCACUCUGCCUCCCAAACGUGAGCCCAGAACAGGACAAGGCACUCCCUGAUCAUCAAAGUAAACAUUUGUGAUUUAAGAGGCUGGUGCAAUCGGAAAGCUGAAGGUGGAUUUUGAAGUACCGCGGAGUUUUCUGUAAGGGCAGUGAUAGUUUCAUUUCCCAUCAUCAAUUCCUAUCUGUGGGGAGGCAUUUCCUUCCCUACUUCGUCUUAAAAUAGACUGAGCAGAAGCAGGUCCCAGGUUUCAAUGAACACCUCGAAGAAUUAACAACGCCCUCAGCUCUGGAGUUUUGGCAGAAUUUCCCUUUCAGCACAUAAGACACUCAUCAGACAGGAAUACAUUUUUUUUAUGAAAAAGUGCACUUUAUACUGCAAAAAAAUUAGGGAUUCUGGUGCAAAAAUAAGGAAUUCAUCUAGAUCAAGAUGAGUAUUUAUGGUAUCAACAAGGGGGGGGGGGGUUCGCCAAGUCAAUAAAUUUAGAAAGAGCCUUUGCAACUCUGAAAUUCCUAUUGUUAAAAUAAAAUUAAAUUGUUAAAAUAUUAUUGAUAAAGGAUUAAAGUAAAAGGGGGUAAGAGGGAGGAAGUUACUUUGGGAAAGGAUCUGUACAAACUCAUUGCCGACAAUUUCCUCUGCGCUGUGGGGUGAAAUCUGAAAAUCGGAAUGAAAAAAGAAAAGCC